GCAGUUUCGAAGCUUCUCGAAGUGUGGUAGAAGUAGGUAAAACCAAAGGCAAGAUCCAUUUCUGACCUGAAACCCACUUCCUUCUCCGUCUUCUCAUCAUAUAGCGAAAACAAUUUCGAUCAAAGAAGAGCAAUCAUGGGUUGGAUGACACGGUUCUUAUCUGCUGUAGCUUUCUUGGCAAUUGGAGUACUUUUUGCUCCAGAAACUUUUGGUUCAAAAUCAGAUGGUCAACAUCCUCCAAAGCUCGCAACUUUUCUGAAAUUAGCUCAUCUCCUCUGCUUUUCCACUGCUUUUGGUGCUGCUCUAUGGGUCACUUUCAUCGGUGGUAUCAUCAUGUUCAAGAAUUUGCCAAGGCAUCAGUUUGGGAAUCUGCAAAGUAAAAUGUUUCCUGCAUACUUCUCCAUGGUGGGGGUAUGUUGUGCUGUGUCUGUGGGUUCUUUUGGGUACUUGCAUCCAUGGAAGACUGCCUCCGCUUCUGAGAAGUACCAACUUGGGUUCAUUCUUGCUGCAUUUGCUUUCAACCUCAGCAAUCUCUUUGUCUUUACUCCUAUGACCAUUCAGAUGAUGAAGGAAAGGCAUAAGAUAGAGAGGGAGGCGAACAUAGGGGAGGAAGUUGGAUGGACGAAGAACCAAGAAGUCGCAAAGGUUAAUCCAAAGCUUUCAGCAAUGAACAAGAAAUUCGGGAUGAUUCAUGGCCUAUCUUCCCUUGCUAACAUCUUCUCCUUCGGUUGCCUCGCUAUGCAUUCCUGGUACCUGGCUGGAAAAUUGGAUCUAUAAAUUGUAUUAAUCCUUCUGCUACUUUCUAGUUUGGCAUUUAGUUUCUACCAUGGCUUGUGUAUUGUGUUAAAAUGUAACUUGACACCACCCAAGUAAGAAUAAAAAUACACACGUUACCAAGUUGCUCAAAAUGUGAAACUUUGAUAUCAACAAGUCUGAAUAGAACCAAA
rnacentral:misc_RNA from 1 species